rnacentral:lncRNA from 1 species
UAUCUAGACCAAUCUUUUAGCUAUCCUUCUACUCGCCUGCCUACCUUCAUCCUUAUUCUACCUUUGUUAGCUCGGAGCUUCUCUCUUGGCUAGCGAUCGUAAGGGCUUUGAGAGCAUUGUCAGCCUGAAGACGGACGGGCAAUCGCCUAAUCCAAAGGCAGUAACAGGAUGCGGCAGAGACGGUUCAGCGGCCCAUCGAAAGACGGUCCGGGCUGCGAAAAUGAAGACCCAGCCUUCGGGUAGUCCCACUUUCUGGUUCCCCUGAACACCUCAAUGCUAGAUCAGCCAUUAAAAUGCAUUAUAUAUAUAUAAAUUUUCCUUCUUCAUCACUAGUUAACGAAUGUUGGCUGUAACCGAUUGUUAACACUCAAUCAAGCACGACUUGAAAGUCAGGAUAGAUGAAUCUCUCAGUUAGUACGUUUUAAACAAGC